rnacentral:rRNA from 1 species
AACGAACGCUGGCGGCAUGCCUAACACAUGCAAGUCGAACGAGAUCUUCGGGUCUAGUGGCGCACGGGUGCGUAACGCGUGGGAAUCUGCCCUUUGGUUCGGAAUAACAGUUGGAAACGACUGCUAAUACCGGAUGAUGACGAAAGUCCAAAGAUUUAUCGCCAGAGGAUGAGCCCGCGUAGGAUUAGCUAGUUGGUGUGGUAAAGGCGCACCAAGGCGACGAUCCUUAGCUGGUCUAAGAGGAUGAUCAGCCACACUGGGACUGAGACACGGCCCAGACUCCUACGGGAGGCAGCAGUGGGGAAUAUUGGACAAUGGGCGAAAGCCUGAUCCAGCAAUGCUGCGUGAGUGAUGAAGGCCUUAGGGUUGUAAAGCUCUUUUACCCGGGAUGAUAAUGACAGUACCGGGGGAAUAAGCUCCGGCUAACUCCGUGCCAGCCGCCGCCGUAAAAC